UACGUAGGUGGCAAGCGUUGUCCGGAUUUAUUGGGUUUAAAGGGUGCGUAGGCGGCCCUGUAAGUCAGUGCUGAAAUAUCCCGGCUUAACCGGGAGGGUGGCAUUGAUACUGCGGGGCUAGAGUACAGAUGAGGUAGGCGGAAUUGACGGUGUAGCGGUGAAAUGCUUAGAUAUCGUCAAGAACACCUAUAGCGAAGGCAGCUUACUAGGCUGUAACUGACGCUGAGGCACGAAAGUGUGGGGAUCAGACAGG
rnacentral:rRNA from 1 species